AAUAGAUACCCGGGUAGUCCACGCCGUAAACGAUGAGUGCUAAGUGUUAGAGGGUUUCCGCCCUUUAGUGCUGCAGCUAACGCAUUAAGCACUCCGCCUGGGGAGUACGGCCGCAAGGCUGAAACUCAAAGGAAUUGACGGGGGCCCGCACAAGCGGUGGAGCAUGUGGUUUAAUUCGAAGCAACGCGAAGAACCUUACCAGGUCUUGACAUCCUCUGCCAACCCUAGAGAUAGGGCAUUCCCCUUCGGGGGACAGAGUGACAGGUGGUGCAUGGUUGUCGUCAGCUCGUGUCGCGAGAUGUUGGGUUAAGUCCCGCAACGAGCGCAACCCUUGAUCUUAGUUGCCAGCAUUCAGUUGGGCACUCUAAGGUGACUGCCGGUGACAAACCGGAGGAAGGUGGGGAUGACGUCAAAUCAUCAUGCCCCUUAUGACCUGGGCUACACACGUGCUACAAUGGAUGGUACAAAGAGCUGCGAACCCGUGAGGGUAAGCGAAUCUCAUAAAGCCAUUCUCAGUUCGGAUUGU
rnacentral:rRNA from 1 species